UAGGGAAUCUUGCGCAAUGGGCGAAAGCCUGACGCAGCCAUGCCGCGUGAAUGAUGAAGGUCUUAGGAUUGUAAAAUUCUUUCACCGGGGAAGAUAAUGACGGUACCCGGAGAAGAAGCCCCGGCUAACUUCGUGCCAGCAGCCGCGGUAAUACGAAGGGGGCUAGCGUUGCUCGGAAUUACUGGGCGUAAAGGGUGUGUAGGCGGAUACUUAAGUCGGGGGUGAAAGCCCAGGGCUCAACCCUGGAAUAGCCUUCGAUACUGGGUAUCUUGAGUUCGGAAGAGGUAAGUGGAACUCCGAGUGUAGAGGUGAAAUUCGUAGAUAUUCGGAAGAACACCAGUGGCGAAGGCGACUUACUGGUCCGACACUGACGCUGAAACACGAAAGCGUGGGGAGCAAACAGGAUUAGAUACCCCCGUAGUCC
rnacentral:rRNA from 1 species